rnacentral:rRNA from 1 species
AUGGAUCAGGAGCUGAUCGAGCACCUUGAGGCCAAAGUGAGUGCUGACAGCGCGAGAUCUCACCCUCUCAGUGAUUUGUUCAUACCAACCAUCGACAGCGAGCACGGCAUAUGCUACACCCAUCCUGAGAAACUUCCAGGUAUCACACUGAGUGGCCUAAGCAGGCAUUUCUUCCAGCGCAAUUCCAGGGUGUUCAAAAGGGGCACAUGGACGCGUCGCAAGAUACAGUCGGAGUGCGGCAUGCACGCGAUGUGGCACAAGACCGGCAAUACCUUGCCGGUGAUGGUCAAUGGUCGGCAGAUGGGCAACAAAAAGGUUCUGGUGCUGCACACCAACAAGAACUUCGACCAUUCCCGCAAAAAAAAGAACUUUGACCAGCAGAGGACCAACUGGGUGAUGCACUAG